UAAGGAAUAUUGGUCAAUGGAGGCAACUCUGAACCAGCCAUGCCGCGUGAAGGAUGAAGGCGCUAUGCGUCGUAAACUUCUUUUAUAUGGGAAAAAACCUCUGAACGUGUUCGGAGCUGAUGGUACCAUAAGAAUAAGGAUCGGCUAACUCCGUGCCAGCAGCCGCGGUAAUACGGAGGAUCCAAGCGUUAUCCGGAUUCAUUGGGUUUAAAGGGUGCGUAGGCGGCUUGUUAAGUCAGCGGUGAAAUCUCAGGGCUUAACCCUGAAACUGCCAUUGAUACUGACGAGCUUGAGUACACUUGAAGUGGGCGGAAUGUGUCGUGUAGCGGUGAAAUGCUUAGAUAUGACACAGAACACCGAUUGCGAAGGCAGCUCACUAAAUUGUCACUGACGCUGAGGCACGAAAGCGUGGGGAUCAAACAGGAUUAGAUACCCCCGUAGUCC
rnacentral:rRNA from 1 species